GACAGAGGUUGCCAAGCGUUUUUAGGCGGAAUCACUGGGCUUAAAGCGUGUGUAGGCGGAUUUUUAAGUACCUUGUGAAAUCCCACAGCUCAACUGUGGAACUGCUCGGUAUACUGGGAAUCUUGAGCCACUUAGGGCUGUCGGAACAAGCGGUGGAGCGGUGAAAUGCGUAGAUAUCUAGAGGAACGCCAAAGGUGAAGACAGGCGCUGGGCCAAAUCUGACGUGAGGCACGAAAGCGUGGGAGCGAACGGGG
rnacentral:rRNA from 1 species